rnacentral:misc_RNA from 1 species
UGUUAGGUUUGUAUGAGCAUGUUGGAUNNNNNNNUGCGCAUCGACAAUGUCUCGUGCAUUCCAUUUCAGUUGUUGCCUCAAGUUUUACUUGGUCGUUGUGUGUUUCCUGUGCUAAAUACCUAACAUGAAGGCAUUCCAUUUGAUGUGGACACUAUAUCCACCUUUUGAUGCCCCCCAAGAGGAGUGCGUUUUGUUGGUGGACCUCAAAUCAUGCAUUGUGGUUCACAUCCUUUGCCUGCCUGUUCAUGCUUUGGUUGUUGACCCAUGAUGUUGUGUUUGAUCUCUUGGAUAUUGAAAAUUGUGAGGGAAUGGGUCUUUGGCCUUUAAUGACCCCAAAUUAGGCGUUCGACGCUAUAAGCGAACGACUGUCGUGUCUGUGUUGGACGAGUCCUUUGGACUUGGCUCAUACGGCACCCAUGUCGGYGAGGAA